rnacentral:rRNA from 1 species
UCGCGUAAUAACGGAGGAAGGUGGGGAUGACGUCAAAUCAUCAUGCCCCUUAUGACCUGGGCUACACACGUGCUACAAUGGGCGGUACAAAGGGUCGCGAACCCGCGAGGGGGAGCCAAUCCCAAAAAGCCGCUCUCAGUUCGGAUUGCAGGCUGCAACUCGCCUGCAUGAAGCCGGAAUCGCUAGUAAUCGCGGAUCAGCAUGCCGCGGUGAAUACGUUCCCGGGCCUU